ACCUGCGGAAGGAUCAUUAUCGUGGGGCUUCGGCCCUAUCGAGAUAGAACCCUUGCCUUUUUGAGUACCUUUCGUUUCCUCGGUAGGCUCGCCUGCCGGUGGACAAACAAACCAAACCCUGUAUUAUCAUGUAAUAGUCUGAGUAAACAAAAAUUAAAUCAAAACUUUCAACAACGGAUCUCUUGGUUCUGGCAUCGAUGAAGAACGCAGCGAAAUGCGAUAAGUAGUGUGAAUUGCAGAAUUCAGUGAAUCAUCGAAUCUUUGAACGCACAUUGCGCCCUUUGGUAUUCCUUAGGGCAUGCCUGUUCGAGCGUCAUUCAAACCUUCAAGCUCUGCUUGGUGUUGGGUGUCUGUCCCGCCUUACGGCGCGGACUCGCCUCAAAUUCAUUGGCGGCCGGUACGUUGGCUUCGAGCGCAGCAGAAACGCGUUCUCGAGACUGGCGGACUGGCUCCCAGAAGCUAACCCCAUGAAUUUUGACCUCGGAUCAGGUAGGGAUACCCGCUGAACUUAAGCAUAGCCCUAGUAACGGCGAGUGAAGCGGCAACAGCUCAAAUUUGAAAUCUGGCUCUUUCAGGGUCCGAGUUGUAAUUUGCAGAGGGUGCUUUGGUGUUGACUGUGGUCUAAGUUCCUUGGAACAGGACGUCGCAGAGGGUGAGAAUCCCGUAUGUGGCCGCCAGUCUUCACCGUGUAAAGCCCCUUCGACGAGUCGAGUUGUUUGGGAAUGCAGCUCUAAAUGGGAGGUAAAUUUCUUCUAAAGCUAAAUACUGGCCAGAGACCGAUAGCGCACAAGUAGAGUGAUCGAAAGAUGAAAAGCACUUUGGAAAGAGAGUCAAAAAGCACGUGAAAUUGUUGAAAGGGAAGCGCUUGCAGCCAGACUUGCCUGUAGUUGCUCAUCCGGACUUUUGUCCGGUGCACUCUUCUACGGGCAGGCCAGCAUCAGUUGGGGCGGUUGGAUAAAUGCCUGCUGAAUGUACCUCUCCUCGGGGAGGACUUAUAGCAGUAGGCGGCAUACAACCAGCCCCGACUGAGGUCCGCGCAUCUGCUAGGAUGCUGGCGUAAUGGCUGUAAGCGGCCCGUCUUG
rnacentral:rRNA from 1 species